CCCCUAGUAACUGCGAGUGAACCGGGAAAAGCUCAAAUUUGAAAUCUGGCAGUCUCCUUUUUCUUCUUUGGCUGUCCGAAUUGUAAUCUAGAGAAGUGCUUACCUGCGCUGGACCGUGUAUAAGUCUCCUGGAAUGGAGCGUCACAGAGGGUGAGAAUCCCGUCUUUGACACGGACUGCCAGUGUGUUGUGGUGCGCUCUCAAAGAGUCGAGUUGUUUGGGAAUGCAGCUCUAAAUGGGUGGUAAACUCCAUCUAAAGCUAAAUAUUGGCGAGAGACCGAUAGCGAACAAGUACCGUGAGGGAAAGAUGAAAAGGACUUUGGAAAGAGAGUUAAACAGUAUGUGAAAUUGUUGAAAGGGAAACGCUUGAAGUCAGUUUUGCUGGCUAGGGAUCAACUCAGCUGUUUUUUGCUGGGUGAAUUUCCUGGUCUUGCAGGCCAACAUCAGUUCUGGUUGCUGGAAAAGAGCAGAAGGAAUGUGGCACCUUCGGGUGUGUUAUAGCCUUUUGUUAUAUGUGGCAGCUGGGACUGAGGGAUGCAGCACGUCGUAAGGCUGGGUUUCGACCACAUUCGUGCUUAGGAUGUUGGCUUUUAAUGGCUUCAAUCGACCCGUCUUGAAACACGGACCAAGGAGUCUAACAUGCCUGCGAGUGUUUGGGUGGUGAAAACCCUUGCGCGC
rnacentral:rRNA from 1 species